rnacentral:rRNA from 1 species
AGAACGAACGCUGGCGGCAGGCUUAACACAUGCAAGUCGAACGCUCGUAGCAAUACGGGAGUGGCAGACGGGUGAGUAACGCGUGGGAACAUACCCUCCGGUUCGGAAUAGCUCAGGGGAAACUUGGAUUAAUACCGGAUACGGCCGAGAGGCGAAAGAUUUAUUGCCGAAGGAACGGCCCGCGUCCGAUUAGCUAGUUGGUGAGGUAACGGCUCACCAAGGCGACGAUCGGUAGCUGGUCUGAGAGGAUGACCAGCCUCACUGGGACUGAGACACGGCCCAGACUCCUACGGGAGGCAGCAGUGGGGAAUAUUGGACAAUGGGCGCAAGCCUGAUCCAGCCAUGCCGCGUGGAUGAUGAAGGCCUUAGGGUUGUAAGUCCUUUUAACGGGGAGAUAAUGACGGUACCGUAGAAUAAGCCCGGCUAACUUCGCGCCAGCAGCCGC